AUGAGUCCCUAUGCUUCACCUGCAAUCUUAGUUAGAAAGAAGGGAGGAACUUGGAGACUUUGCAUUGAUUAUAGGAAGCUAAAUGCCCAAACUAUCAAAAACAAAUUUCCCAUACCAGUGAUAGAAGAUUUAUUGGAUGAACUACAUGGAGCAGCUGUUUUCAGCAAACUGGACCUGAAAUCAGGUUAUCAUCAAAUCAGGAUGAAACCUGAGGAUGUGCAUAAAACUGCUUUCAGGACAUAUUUAGGGCAUUAUGAGUUUCUGGUCAUGCCCUUCGGAUUGACUAAUGCCCCAGCUACUUUCCAAGCUCUCAUGAACAAGCUUUUUGCUCCAUAUCUCAGGAAAUUUGUUUUGCUACUUUUUGAUGAUAUCUCAAUUUUCAGCAGAAACAUGGAGGAACACAAGGAGCAUUUAGCACUGGUCAUGGAAAUACUCAAGAAAAGCAACCUUUUUCUGAACUACUCCAAAUGCACUUUUGCAACAUCUUCUGUAGAAUAUUUGGGCCACAUACUGUCUGCUCAGGGAGUAGCAACUGACCCUGCAAAAAUAUCAGCUGUCAAGCAAUGGCCAGUACCAACUAACAUAACUGAGUUGAGAAGUUUCUUGGGAUUGGCUGGUUAUUAUAGAAGGUUCAUCAAAGAUUAUGGGUUGAUUUGCAGGCCACUCCAUAAUCUGUUAAAGAAAGACUCCUUUCUUUGGACUGAGCAACAGACUGUGGCUUUUGAACAACUCAAGAACAGUCUUACUACUGCACUAGUACUGGCUCUUCCUAACUUGUCCAUCCCAUUUGAACUAGAAUGUGAUGCUUCAGGCACUGUUAUUGGAGCAGUGCUCAUGCAGCAACACAGACCCCUGGCUUAUUACAGCAAAUCCUUGGGCCCCAAAGUUGCUGCCCUCUCAACUUAUGAGAAAGAAGCAAUUGCAAUACUGGAAUCCCUCAGAAAAUGGAGACACUAUUUCCUGGGAUCCUCUCUCAUCAUUAAAACUGAUCACCAGAGCCUCAAGUUUAUCACAGAGCAAAGAAUUUCUGAAGGAGUGCAGCAUAAACUCAUGCUCAAGUUACUGGAAUUCACAUACACUAUUCAAUACAAAAAGGGCAAGGAAAACAAAGCUGCUGAUGCUCUCUCUAGACAACCACACUUAAUGGCUAUCUCUAUAGUAGUACCAAGUUGGACUUAA
rnacentral:rRNA from 1 species